CCCUUAGAUGUUCUGGGCUGCACGCGCGCUACACUGAAGCGUUCAACGAGUAUUCACCUUGCCCGGGAGGGUUGGGUAAUCUUUUGAAAACGCUUCGUGAUGGGGAUAGAUUAUUGCAAUUAUUAAUCUUCAACGAGGAAUUCCUAGUAAACGCAAGUCAUCAGCUUGCAUUGAUUACGUCCCUGCCCUUUGUACACACCGCCCGUCGCACCUACCGAUUGAAUGGUCCGGUGAAAUCUCCGGACUGGCGUGAGUCGGAGCAAUCUGACAAACGCCGGAAAGUUGAUUAAACCUUACCAUUUAGAGGAAGGUGAAGUCGUAACA
rnacentral:rRNA from 1 species